AUUGCCGCCAUACUGAAGCAAUAAAGAUGGUUGCGGUGAUGGAGCACCUUGCUGAAGAUUUGUAUAAAAUAAGAAGGUCCAGUUCCUGGCAAUCUCCAAGAAUAGAAUACAGAAUGCUGGAACCAUGUUGUUUACUUGGAGCUGAAAAAAGUUGGGCCAGGCCAGUGGAAAUAAUGGUAUGCAAUCUUCAAUAGCUGCUCAAUGAACCAUCACUACCUUGCCUGUCAAUACACUGGAUAUGCAGAUUUUGACAUUGGAAGAGAGGUGACUAAAGAAGCCAUGUCGGCA